CUUCAGCCAAGUAAGUGGACUGUGCUCUUUCUCCCUGUGGGGCCAUGUGCAGAAGCUGAGAGAGUGGUUGCUUGGCACCGUCCACAGCCUAUGGCUUGUAUAGGCAGAUCUAAGGGGCCCUGAAGACAGUC